rnacentral:rRNA from 1 species
UACGGAAGGCAGCAGUGGGGAAUAUUGCACAAUGGGCGCAAGCCUGAUGCAGCCAUGCCGCGUGUAUGAAGAAGGCCUUCGGGUUGUAAAGUACUUUCAGUCGUGAGGAAGGUGUUAAGGUUAAUAACCUUAGCAAUUGACGUUAGCGACAGAAGAAGCACCGGCUAACUCCGUGCCAGCAGCCGCGGUAAUACGGAGGGUGCGAGCGUUAAUCGGAAUUACUGGGCGUAAAGGGCACGCAGGCGGUUAAUUAAGUUGGAUGUGAAAUCCCCGGGCUUAACCUGGGAAUGGCAUUCAAGACUGGUUAGCUAGAGUCUUGUAGAGGGGGUAGAAUUCCGAUGUGUAGCGGUGAAAUGCGUAGAGAUGUGGAGGAAUACCGGUGGCGAAGGCGGCCCCUGGGACAAGACUGACGCUCAUGUGCGAAAGCGUGGGGAGCGAAACAGGAUUAGAUACC